CACCUCUUUUGAAUCAUCCCAUGCCUUUCCUGUGAUCAUAGGUGGGUACAGUUGGGCCCACAUAGGAAUUCAAAUGGUAACAAGGUUUGAAGAACUUGUGUUGGAUCAUAGCUUGCCAUCUUAGGAUCGUUUGUAAUUUGUGGAAUAUUUGGGUACCUAUGUAGGAAAAUAUAUAUUGGUCGAUGCAUAUGAGUCCAUACAAGUAUGGACUGUUUGGUUCAGGCGGUUCUCCAUAUGAUAGUCAUACAAGUAUGGACUGCCAUUUCUAAAUAAUAAGAAGACUAACUAUUUUAGUGUUCUCUUGUUUCUCUCUCAUGAUUGUCCUUUUUUAAUUGAAAAAUCAUUAUUUACCUUUUGUCACAGACUAGAAGAAAUGCUCUUGGACAUGGUGACCAUGGAUAUUCUAGGGCAGCAGGCCUUAUUAAAAACAUCUGUAAAACACAUGUCAGGGCGUUUGUCAAUUCCAAAAAUGAAGGAUUUCUUUUCUUCUAGAAUUUGGAGAAUGGUCACCAUGAGAAUGAAGAGUCCGAAGGCAAAACUGUCGGUUCAAAGAUUAAAUUAUUUUAUAUUAUUGUCUAAUUGUUUAUUUGUGUCCAAUUUUACCUUUUUAUGUUCGAGGCCUUAGGAAGGGCAAUUUCUAUAGGUGCCACAAAGUGCAACUCCUGCUACUAAGAAUAAUGCAUUAUCCAACAACAAGUUGAGGGAAUCCCAGGUUCAGAGACAGCAUAAACAUCAAAUGGAUCACUGUAAUACAUUAAACACAAUCUCCAGCCGCAACAAAGUUCUCAAACACUUGUGGUGAUGCAGGGCUUUGUUCUAAGGAGGAUUCGUCUACAAAUUUCUCAUACUACCAACAAGGGCAGUGAGUUGAGCAAGGACAGAGAAUGCUAUGAUCCACAAAUGGCUUGUACUACUAGCAAGGAUAGUGAGUUGAAUAGGGACAAAUUGCCAUGAGGUUGAAAUGGUAAUAUCUAAGGUUGAAGGAAAUGUGGAAGAUACCAACCGUAAAGGAGCGUAGUCUGAAGAAAAUGUGGAAGAUACCAGUGGAGUUGGACAGGCUGAAGGAAAUGUGGAAGAUACUAAAGGGAAAAGGAAUGGAAGCAUCAAAACCCAUUUAAGUGAUGUCUAUCUAUUCAUAUAUUGGGCAAUAUUGUAUGUGAAUAGAUAAGUGAGGUAUGUAAAAUGGAGAAAGAAACUUUGGUAUUCUUAUGCGAAAAUGUGGUUUCCUUG